rnacentral:rRNA from 1 species
GACGAACGCUGGCGGCGUGCCUAAUACAUGCAAGUCGAGCGGAUCUCUUCGGAGAUCAGCGGCGGACGGGUGAGUAACACGUGGGCAACCUGCCUGUAAGACUGGGAUAACUCCGGGAAACCGGGGCUAAUACCGGAUAACCCUUCGGACCUCAUGGUCCGGAGCUGAAAGACGGUUAUGCUGUCACUUACAGAUGGGCCCGCGGCGCAUUAGCUAGUUGGUGAGGUAACGGCUCACCAAGGCCACGAUGCGUAGCCGACCUGAGAGGGUGAUCGGCCACUCUGGGAGUGAGACAGGGCCCAGACUCCUACGGGAGGCAGCAGGAGGGAAUCUUCCGCAAUGGACGAAAGUCUGACGGAGCAACGCCGCGUGAGUGAAGAAGGUUUUCGGAUCGUAAAACUCUGUUGUUAGGGAAGAACAAGUACGAGAGUAACUGCUCGUACCUUGACGGUACCUAACCAGAAAGCCACGGCUAACUACGUGCCAGCCGCCGCCGUAAAAC